rnacentral:rRNA from 1 species
AGUGAGCGCUGGCGGUAGGCCUAACACAUGCAAGUCGAACGGCAGCACAGUAAGAGCUUGCUCUUACGGGUGGCGAGUGGCGGACGGGUGAGGAAUACAUCGGAAUCUACUUUUUCGUGGGGGAUAACGUAGGGAAACUUACGCUAAUACCGCAUACGACCUACGGGUGAAAGCAGGGGAUCUUCGGACCUUGCGCGAUUGAAUGAGCCGAUGUCGGAUUAGCUAGUUGGCGGGGUAAAGGCCCACCAAGGCGACGAUCCGUAGCUGGUCUGAGAGGAUGAUCAGCCACACUGGGACUGAGACACGGUCCAGACUCCUACGGGAGGCAGCAGUGGGGAAUAUUGGACAAUGGGCGCAAGCCUGAUCCAGCCAUACCGCGUGGGUGAAGAAGGCCUUCGGGUUGUAAAGCCCUUUUGUUGGGAAAGAAAAGCAGCAGGUUAAUACCCCGCUGUUCUGACGGUACCCAAAGAAUAAGCACCGGCUAACUUCGUG